ACAUGCCUACAACAUAGUGUUAAUGAAUCCGAUCCCAUUAGAAGUUUACAGUCAAGCGUGUUCAUGCUAGAGUAGCACUGGGAUGGGUGACCAUCCAGGAAGUCCUAGUAUUUUACAUGCC
rfam:Picea glauca, whole genome shotgun sequence.